AGAAUAUCCAAGACAAUGGUCACAACUUGAAAGCACAUGGAAAAACAUAAAUUAUUUUUAUAAUGUCAGCUAAUCCACAGCUGUGCCACCUGUCAAUAUGGAUGCUAUCCAAAAGGAUUUUUGAAACUUUGUUAUCCAAAUGUGGAAAUGGCAGCUGAAGAGAUGAUUUGCGACAGUAUUUGCUGAGAUUAAUUCUGUCCACUAGAUGGACAAAACCAGUUCCCUUUUCACGGGUCUAUACACAGACCAAUGGAACAGAACAGAGGCCUCAGAUAUAACACCACACAUCUACACCAUCUGAUCUUGGACAAACGUGACAAAAACAAGCCAUGGUGAAAAGAUUCCCUAUUUAAUAAAUGGUGUUGAGAAAACUGGCUAGCCAUACGCAGAAAGCUGAAACUGGAUCCCUUCCUUACACCUUAUACAAAAAUUAACUCACGAUGGAUUAAAGACUUAAAUGUAAGACCUAAAACCAUAAAAACCUUAGAAUAAAACCUAGGCAAUAACAUUGAAGACAUAGGCAUGGUCAAGAAUAUUUUAUUGGCCCUGACAUAUGGUCUCUGGAUAGAUGUUUGACCAGACUAUGGCUCCAGGAAGAUUGGUACACUCGAGUAAUUCACAUCUGAGAAGUUUCUCUGUUGCAAUGUGCACACUGUAUUCUUCUAAGGCACCUGCAACACCACGUGACUCCACUCUGCUUGUGCGGCAGACACACAAUCCAUCCACUCACAAGUGUUCUUCAUGGUUUUCAGCCAUCUGCUCAAGUGAGCACUAAGCACCCCACUACUGU